AUCCAGCUGACGAGUCCAAAUUAGGGCGAGAUGCUCAUCCUGGAC
rnacentral:hammerhead_ribozyme from 1 species